UCUCCUAGAGCCAUUUAAGGGCUGACCGCCAGUGGGGAAGGAGCUCUUCUAGAGAUUUCUCCUCUGGAGUUUUGCGGUAAGCCUAAGAUACAGCUUUGCAAAAAGACAGGCUCCACAAAUCAUCUCUGGCCUUCCUAAACAUGAAGAAAAACACACCUGGUUCCAGAAGUUCCUGAUGUUGUCUUCAGUAAUCCCACAUGAUACCUGUUGGCGCUUUGGGGUCAUAGAUGGGCAUGUAACAGGGCCAUGUCAAGCUUGUGCUACCUAUUGUGGUAGGAAGAGGGUAGGGAUAACAUAAAGGUGGAAGACACAAAGCAGUGAGAAAACAGGAUUCAGUACUGUAUGGGAACUAUUGAAUGGCUUC